rnacentral:rRNA from 1 species
UAAUACCGGAUGCUUGAUUGAACCGCAUGGUUCAAUUAUAAAAGGUGGCUUUUAGCUACCACUUACAGAUGGACCCGCGGCGCAUUAGCUAGUUGGUGAGGUAACGGCUCACCAAGGCAACGAUGCGUACCCAACCUGAGAGGGUGAUCGGCCACACUGGGACAGAAACACGGCCCAAACUCCUACGGGAGGCAGCAGUAGGGAAUCUUCCGCAAUGGACAAAAGUCUGACGGACCACCGCCGCGGGAGUGAUGAAGGUUUUCGGAUCGUAAAACUCUGUUGUUAGGGAAAAACAAGUACCGUUCGAAUAGGGCGGUACCAUGACGGUACCUAACCAAAAAGCCACGGCUAACUACGUGCCAGCAGCCGCGGUAAUACGUAGGUGGCAAGCGUUGUCCGGAAUUAUUGGGCGUAAAGCGCGCGCAGGCGGUUUCUUAAGUCUGAUGUGAAAGCCCCCGGCUCACCCGGGGAGGGUCAUUGGAAACUGGGGAACUUGAGUGCAAAAAAGGAGAGUGGAAUUCCACGUGUAGCGGUGAAAUGCGUAAAGAUGUGGAGGACCACCAGUGGCGAAGGCGACUCUCUGGUCUGUAACUGACGCUGAGGCGCGAAAGCGUGGGGAGCGAACAGGAUUAGAUACCCUGGUAGUCCACGCCGUAAACGAUGAGUGCUAAGUGUUACAGGGUUUCCGCCCUUUUAGUGCUGCAGCAAACGCAUUAAGCACUCCGCCUGGGGAGUACGGUCGCAAGUCUGAAACUCAAACGAAUUGACGGGGGGCCCGCACAAGCGGUGGAGCAUGUGGU